rnacentral:rRNA from 1 species
CCCGCUGAACUUAAGCAUAUUAUUAAGCGGAGGAAAAGAAACUAACAAGGAUGCCCUCAGUAACGGCGAGUGAAGCGGGCAAAGCUCAACCUGAAAAUCGGUGUUCCAAACGGGACCUCGAAUUGUGGGCUAGAGACGCUGGAUCAGUGUGUGACCUAGGUAUAACUCUUUUGAAACAAGGGAUCAUAGAGGGUGAGAAUCCCGUCUGUGACCUAGAGUUCGCCGCGUACGAUCCGUGUUCAUAGAGUCGAGUUGUUUGGGAUUGCAGCUCUAAAUGGGAGGUAAAUUUCUUCUAAAGCUAAAUACCGACGAGAGACCGAUAGCGAACAAGUACCGUGAGGGAAAGAUGAAAAGAACUUUGAAAAGAGAGUUAAAAAGUACCUGAAAUUGCUAAGAGAGAAGCACUGGAAACCAGUCGUGAUUCGCGUGGAUACUUACUAAUGACCGUUAGAUAGUUUUGUACUUUGGAGCCCAAAGCCCAUGUACUCUGUUGUCGAAGCGGUCGUUGGGUCCUGUCCUGUGAAUCGGAUCAGAAUCAGUUUGAUUUGGGAGAGAAAGCUAUGUGCAUCGUUGUGUGUGUUAGGGAAACUUAACUAUCACAAGAGCGGUAGUGCUAUCCCAGGUUAGACUGAGGGACAAUCGAAAUGCGCACCACUAGGUUAUCGACUCCCCGACCCUGGAUUACUAGUUGACGUGUACAACAAGUUGUGCUGUUGGCGAAGUUUUCUACUGGAAAGGAUGAGCCAGAUGCAGCAUUCGAGAUUCUGAUGAAAUGGUUUUCAUUGACCCGUCUUGAAACACGG